rnacentral:rRNA from 1 species
GAUGAACGCUGGCGGCGUGCCUAAUACAUGCAAGUCGAGCGAAUGGAUUAAGAGCUUGCUCUUAUGAAGUUAGCGGCGGACGGGUGAGUAACACGUGGGUAACCUGCCCAUAAGACUGGGAUAACUCCGGGAAACCGGGGCUAAUACCGGAUAACAUUUUGAACCGCAUGGUUCGAAAUUGAAAGGCGGCUUCGGCUGUCACUUAUGGAUGGACCCGCGUCGCAUUAGCUAGUUGGUGAGGUAACGGCUCACCAAGGCAACGAUGCGUAGCCGACCUGAGAGGGUGAUCAGCCUCACUGGGACUGAGACACGGCCCAGACUCCUACGGGAGGCAGCAGUAGGGAAUCUUCCGCAAUGGACGAAAGUCUGACGGAGCAACGCCGCGUGAGUGAUGAAGGCUUUCGGGUCGUAAAACUCUGUUGUUAGGGAAGAACAAGUGCUAGUUGAAUAAGCUGGCACCUUGACGGUACCUAACCAGAAAGCCACGGCUAACUACGUGCCAGCCGCCGCUGUAA